rnacentral:rRNA from 1 species
GGCAGGCUUAACACAUGCAAGUCGAGGGGUAGGGUUAGCUUGCUAACCUGAGACCGGCGCACGGGUGCGUAACGCGUAUGCAAUCUACCUUAUACAGGGGGAUAGCCCAGAGAAAUUUGGAUUAAUACCCCAUAGUAUUUUUGACCGGCAUCGGUUGAUUAUUAAAGUUCCAACGGUAUAAGAUGAGCAUGCGUCCCAUUAGCUAGAUGGUAAGGUAACGGCUUACCAUGGCAACGAUGGGUAGGGGUCCUGAGAGGGAGAUCCCCCACACUGGUACUGAGACACGGACCAGACUCCUACGGGAGGCAGCAGUGAGGAAUAUUGGUCAAUGGGCGCAAGCCUGAACCAGCCAUGCCGCGUGCAGGAUGAAGCAUCUAUGGUGUGUAAACUGCUUUUGUACAGGAAGAAACACUCCCUCGUGAGGGAGCUUGACGGUACUGUAAGAAUAAGGAUCGGCUAACUCCGUGCCAGCAGCCGCGGUAAUACGGAGGAUCCAAGCGUUAUCCGGAAUCAUUGGGUUUAAAGGGUCCGUAGGCGGUUUUAUAAGUCAGUGGUGAAAUCUGGUCGCUCAACGAUCAAACGGCCAUUGAUACUGUAGAACUUGAAUUACUUGGAAGUAACUAGAAUAUGUAGUGUAGCGGUGAAAUGCUUAGAGAUUACAUGGAAUACCAAUUGCGAAGGCAGGUUACUACGAGUACAUUGACGCUGAUGGACGAAAGCGUGGGGAGCGAACAGGAUUAGAUACCCUGGAGUCCACGCCGUAAACGAUGGAUACUAGCUGUUUGGAGCAAUCUGAGUGGCUAAGCGAAAGUGAUAAGUAUCCCACCUGGGGAGUACGCUCGCAAGAGUGAAACUCAAAGGAAUUGACGGGGGCCCGCACAAGCGGAGGAGCAUGUGGUUUAAUUCGAUGAUACGCGAGGAACCUUACCAAGGCUUAAAUGGGAGACGACAGGUUUAGAAAUAGAUCUUUCUUCGGACGUCUUUCAAGGUGCUGCAUGGUUGUCGUCAGCUCGUGCCGUGAGGUGUCAGGUUAAGUCCUAUAACGAGCGCAACCCCUGUUGUUAGUUGCCAGCGAGUCAUGUCGGGAACUCUAGCAAGACUGCCGGUGCAAACCGUGAGGAAGGUGGGGAUGACGUCAAAUCAUCACGGCCCUUACGCCUUGGGCUACACACGUGCUACAAUGGACGGUACAGAGAGCAGCCACUGCGCAAGCAGGAGCGAAUCUACAAAACCGUUCUCAGUUCGGAUCGGAGUCUGCAACUCGACUCCGUGAAGCUGGAUUCGCUAGUAAUCGCAGAUCAGCCAUGCUGCGGUGAAUACGUUCCCGGGCCUUGUACACACCGCCCGUCAAGCCAUGGAAGCUGGGGGUACCUGAAGUCGGUGACCGCAAGGAGCUGCCUAGGGUAAAACUGGUAACUAGGGCUAAGUCGUAACAA